CUGCCUUAGACAAAGGAUGUACUUGGAGCCCCACCACACCUAAAGCUACGCUUUGAAGGAUCUGCCAAGCUCACUUUUAAUCAUGAGAAAGAAAUUACCCACAUGGAGUCAGCAGAAAAUGAGAAAGUAGAGCUCGUGCUGAGAAUAAUUCCAGCAAGUGCCAAGGGGCUAGGUGAGGAAUGGCUUCACGAGG
rfam:Tupaia chinensis contig11959, whole genome shotgun sequence.